rnacentral:rRNA from 1 species
UACGUAGGGUGCAAGCGUUGUCCGGGAUUAUUGGGCGUAAAGAGCUCGUAGGCGGCUUGUCGCGUCUGCCGUGAAAGUCCGGGGCUCAACUCCGGAUCUGCGGUGGGUACGGGCAGACUAGAGUGAUGUAGGGGAGACUGGAAUUCCUGGUGUAGCGGUGAAAUGCGCAGAUAUCAGGAGGAACACCGAUGGCGAAGGCAGGUCUCUGGGCAUUAACUGACGCUGAGGAGCGAAAGCAUGGGGAGCGAACAGG